UGCACCGAAGGCUGACUGCUCAGAGGGGGUUGGCACAGUCCAGACCCUCAAGACCAGAAGAUCCACGCAGGCUGGGAGUCCUAUCUGGUAUCCCUGCCCCAAGUGUUGAGGAACUCUUGCAGAAGCAAGUGAGCAGAGGCUUAGCACAGGCCCCGGCAGAUCAGAGCUAGCCUGGAGCCAGGCCCCCGUCGAGCAUGGUAGCUUCGUGAAAAAUAAAUUACUGAACGACUAAACACCACAGCACCCACACUUCACCGGUCUUCAAAACCUGAGAGAAAUGACCCCCG